UCAUGACAUUGUUGAAAUUAAGAAGCAA
rnacentral:piRNA from 1 species